rnacentral:misc_RNA from 1 species
AAGACUAUAGACCUGCGGAGUACCUGCGGAGGGAUCAUUACCGAGUUUACAACUCCCAAACCCCCUGUGAACUUAUACCAUUACUGUUGCUUCGGCGGGUUAUUGCCCCGGGGAAGGACAGGCUGCCGCAAGGUGCCCUGCCGCCCCCCCGGAAACAGGCGCCCGCCGGGGGACUCAAACUCUAUAUUUUUUUUCUUGUUUUAGUGUAUACUGUCUGAGUAAAAAAAAACAUAAUGAAUC